rnacentral:rRNA from 1 species
CAGCAGCCGCGGGAAGACAGAGGAUGCAAGCGUUAUCCGGAAUGAUUGGGCGUAAAGCGUGCGCAGGCGGAUCAGUCAGUCUGUCUUAAAAGUUCGGGGCUUAACCCCGUGAUGGGAUGGAAACUGCUGAUCUAGAGUAUCGGAGAGGAAAGUGGAAUUCCUAGUGUAGCGGUGAAAUGCGUUGAGAUCGGAAAGAACACCAACGGCGAAAGCACUCUGCUGGGCCGACACUGACACUGAGAGACGAAAGCUAGGGGAGCAAGUGGGAUUAGAUACCCCCGUAGUCCCUGUCUCUUAUACA